rnacentral:tRNA from 2 species
GGAUGUGGCUCAGUGGUAGAGUGCUUGCCUACCAUGCACGAGGCCCUGGGUUCAAUCCCCAGCACCACCA